rnacentral:rRNA from 1 species
UGCACAAGCGGUGAGCAUGUGGUUUAAUUCGAAGCAACGCGCAGAACCUUACCAGCGUUUGACAUGGUAGGACGACUGGCAGAGAUGCCUUCCUUCCCUUCGGGGACCUACACACAGGUGCUGCAUGGCUGUCGUCAGCUCGUGUCGUGAGAUGUUGGGUUAAGUCCCGCAACGAGCGCAACCCUCGACUUUAGUUACCAUCAUUAAGUUGGGUACUUUAAAGUAACCGCCGGUGAUAAGCCGGAGGAAGGUGGGGAUGACGUCAAGUCCUCAUGGCCCUUACGCGCUGGGCUACACACGUACUACAAUGGCAAGUACAGUGGGCAGCAAUCCCGCGAGGGUGAGCUAAUCUCCAAAACUUGUCUCAGUUUGGAUUGUUCUCUGCAACUCGAGAGCAUGAAGGCGGAAUCGCUAGUAAUCGCGGAUCAGCAUGCCGCGGUGAAUACGUUCCCAGGCCUU